ACGCACGCUGGCGGCGUGCUUAACACAUGCAAGUCGAACGGUGAAGCGCCUUCCUUUUUGGUGGGUGUGGAUGAGUGGCGAACGGGUGAGUAACACGUGAGUAACCUGCCCCCUUCUUCUGGAUAACCGCAUGAAAGUGUGACUAAUACGGGAUAUUCUGGGUCUGUCGCAUGAUGGGUCUGGGAAAGAUAUUGUUUCGGUGGGGGAUGGGCUCGCGGCCUAUCAGCUUGUUGGUGGGGUGAUGGCCUACCAAGGCGGUGACGGGUAGCCGGCCUGAGAGGGUGGACGGUCACACUGGGACUGAGACACGGCCCAGACUCCUACGGGAGGCAGCAGUGGGGAAUAUUGCACAAUGGGCGCAAGCCUGAUGCAGCGACGCCGCGUGAGGGAUGGAGGCCUUCGGGUUGUGAACCUCUUUCGCCAGUGAAGCAGGCCUGCCUCGUUUGUGGGUGGGUUGACGGUAGCUGGAUAAGAAGCGCCGGCUAACUACGUG
rnacentral:rRNA from 1 species